AGAGAUGGGGGAAGGCAUCACGCCUUCGUCAGUUGACCCCCAUCAACCACUGCAGACAGCCUUGAUGACUUGGACUACAGUGAUGAAGACACUGCAAGAGUGUCUUGGUAUUUCCUUUCUCGUGUCAAGCCGCGCUGUUCAAUGGUGGCUGCCUCCAAUUCUUCAUCAUCAUCACUGUCUUCACUCUCUACUGGAGAUGGAUGGGAAGUGGCUGAUGCAGGAGUGAGGGAGCCACUAGCUGGGCAGCAAUAUGGACAGUCUCCAUAAUCCAGCACCGGCAUGUUCUCAGGGGUAUGGAUGCCAGACUGACUAAGAGUUGGCACAGUCAGUGGGACUUUUGUGAUGUGCUCCCAUUCCCAUAUGCAUAUUGCAGUUGUUACGGCACUGCAGGAGAACUUCCGUGUUUGAUAUCUUAACUUCUGGACAUGCUAUAUGGCUAUCCUUUUCAAAUAGUGUAUUUGGUAUAUCUUAUAAGUAAUUGGUGAAGUGUUGAUCCCCUAGUGGCUUCUUUUGGAACUACAGGGGCCAAUUUAGUGUUGAUAGCUUACAUUAUAUAUGUUAUAUCAGGAAAAUGUGACUUGCUCAAUAUUACUGUCCCAUUGAGGUAGCCAGAGAAAUAUGGAUUUCUUUUGUCAGGAAUAGCCUUCUUGACACAGUACAAACUGACAAUGUUGCAGCACAAAAAUUAACAUUCCUGUGCAAGUGGGUCAAGUCUGUAUGUAUAUUUUGUAUACUGAAACAUAGAGGGUUUGUCUUGUAAAUAUGUUUCUUGUACAUUGCAACAUACAGUAUUACAGGUGUAACAUCUUACUUGAGCUUUCCGUACAGUAUAUAGAUUUUGAUACAAAUACAGUUGAAAGCAACCAAUUCAUAUUGUACUGUUGAACAACCGUUAAACAUAUACUGUGUUACCGUCAAUCACAAUAUUUA